rnacentral:rRNA from 1 species
CCUUACCUGGCCUUGACAUACUAAGAACUUUCCAGAGAUGGAUUGGUGCCUUCGGGAACUUAGAUACAGGUGCUGCAUGGCUGUCGUCAGCUCGUGUCGUGAGAUGUUGGGUUAAGUCCCGCAACGAGCGCAACCCUUUUCCUUAUUUGCCAGCGGGUUAAGCCGGGAACUUUAAGGGUACUGCCAGUGACAAACUGGAGGAAGGCGGGGACGACGUCAAGUCAUCAUGGCCCUUACGGCCAGGGCUACACACGUGCUACAAUGGUCGGUACAAAGGGUUGCUACCUCGCGAGAGGAUGCUAAUCUCAAAAAGCCGAUCGUAGUCCGGAUCGCAGUCUGCAACUCGACUGCGUGAAGUCGGAAUCGCUAGUAAUCGCGGAUCAGAAUGCCGCGGUGAAUACGUUCCCGGGCCUUGUACACACCGCCCGUCACACCAUGGGAGUUUGUUGCACCAGAAGUAGGUAGUCUAACCGCAAGGAGGACGCUUACCACGGUGUGGCCGAUGACUGGGGUGAAGUCGUAACAAGGUAAGCGUAGAUGA